rnacentral:rRNA from 1 species
AUUGAACGCUGGCGGCAUGCUUUACACAUGCAAGUCGAACGGGCUUGGGGGCUUGCUCCCAAGUUAGUGGCGAACGGGUGAGUAAUACAUCGGAACGUACCGUGUAGUGGGGGAUAACGUAGCGAAAGUUACGCUAAUACCGCAUACAAUCUACGGAUGAAAGCAGGGGGACCUUCGGGCCUUGUGCUAUACGAGCGGCCGAUGUCUGAUUAGCUAGUUGGUGAGGUAAAGGCUCACCAAGGCGACGAUCAGUAGCGGGUCUGAGAGGAUGAUCCGCCACACUGGGACUGAGACACGGCCCAGACUCCUACGGGAGGCAGCAGUGGGGAAUUUUGGACAAUGGGCGAAAGCCUGAUCCAGCCAUGCCGCGUGUCUGAAGAAGGCCUUCGGGUUGUAAAGGACUUUAUCUGUGACGAAUAUGACGGUAGCAGAUGAAUAAGGAUCGGCUAACUCCGUGCCAGCAGCCGCGGUAAU